rnacentral:misc_RNA from 1 species
AGGGAUCAUUAAAGAGCUAGGGCGGAAACGCCCGACCUCCAACCCCAUGUUGUCCGACUGCGUUGCCUCGGGGGCGACCCCGCCCCCGGUGGACACACCAACCCGUCCUUCCUGCCGUCCGAGCAAUUUUUAAUAAAACAAAACUUUCAACAACGGAUCUCUUGGUUCUG